GCCCCCGUUGUCUAAUGGCUAUGACGUCAGACUUCUAGGGCUUCAUCCCUUCAUCUGGAGGUUGCGGGUUCGAGUCCCGCCGGGGGUA